rnacentral:rRNA from 1 species
GACGAACGCUGGCGGCGUGCUUAACACAUGCAAGUCGAACGGAAAGGCCCUGCUUUUGUGGGUUGCUCGAUUGGCGAACGGGUGAGUAACACGUGAGUAACCUGCCCUUAACUUUGGGAUAACUUCAGGAGACUGGGGCUCAUACCGGAUAGGAGCUCCUGCUGCAUGGUGGUGGUUGGAAAGUUUCGGCGGUUGGGGAUGGACUCGCGGCUUAUCAGCUUGUUGGGGGGGUAGUGGAUUACCAAGGCUUUGACGGGUAGCCGGCCUGAGAGGGUGACCGGCCACAUGGGGACUGAGGGAGGCACCAGACUCGUACGUGAGGCAGCAGUGGGGAACAUUGCACAAUGGGCCGAAGCCUGAUGCAGCAACGCCGGGUGCGGGAUGACGUCUUUCGGGUUGUAAACCGAUGUCGCAUGUGACGAAGCGUGAGUGACGGUAAUGGGUAAAGAAGCACCGGCUAACUACGUG